AACGCACAUUGCGCCCCCUGGCAUUCCGGGGGGCAUGCCUGUCCGAGCGUCAUUUCUGCCCUCAAGCGCGGCUUGUGUGUUGGGUGUGGUCCCCCCGGGGACCUGCCCGAAAGGCAGCGGCGACGUCCGUUGGGUCCUCGAGCGUAUGGGGCUUUGUCACUCGCUCGGGAAGGACCCGCGGGGGUUGGUCACCACCAGAUUUUACCACGGUUGACCUCGGAUCAGGUAGGAGUUACCCGCUGAACUUAA
rnacentral:misc_RNA from 1 species